CGUUGUUGCCAUUUUCAUUUACAUUCACAUUUAUAUUUUUCUUUACUUUUACGAUACUCUUAUGAGGAUUCGUAUGAACACUGGUCCUGCUCGGUGUUUCCAAGUGAUUUUCUGUCUCUUGGUUAUACUUCCAGAUAUUGGAGUACAGGAAAUGUCGCUACAACAGGGACUAGCGUGGCCUAGCUACGAAUUUCUAUUUUAUAUAUGGAGUCAUUGACUCUUUUUCUUUUCGAAUUUGUCUUAUUCCUUUGUUACUCCGAAAUGUUUUCCUCUUAACUCCAUUAAAGCUCCUUACAUAAAUCUCAUUGGAUUCCACAUUCGUAUUCUACCACGUUUAUUCGGGACAAUCGAUACGUUUGCCGGAUCUAAACUUUUUAUUGUGUGCAAGACGUCCAUUUUUUUUACUUCUGACUUCGUCGGUCUUUCUCCUGUUUUUGAAAAAUCAUGGAAGCCAUAGUGGAGUUGAAAGUGAAACACGUUUUUACGCUUGAGAGAACUCAUAACAGCAGGAUAAAUUUGAUUGUACAUCAAAGAAACACGAACGUGCCGCAUAAUAAUUUUCCAAAUUAAAUAAAAUCCCGGCGUGGCGUUGCGCGGUGCGGCAUGGCGUAGCGUAUCGUGACAUCGUGCAACAUCUUGGAAAGUUUCCAACGCAGGCCAAUGAAUAUUAAGUGAAAAAAAAUUACACGACCGAACGAUAAUCGAGUGAUGUCGUUUGUUUUGGAGUAUUUCCGCGUAUCGGAUUUAUUUUCGAACGUGCAUACGUUGCAAGGCCAACGCUCCAGCUAACCAGCAAGCCAGCCUAGUACGACCUGUCUUGAUUGCAUUUGCAAAUUCGAUCGAAUCCAG